rnacentral:lncRNA from 1 species
CAGCAAUGAAUAAAACUAUUGCCCUCGUGGGGCUUAUAUUCCAGUGGGGAGGACCUCUCCACCCACUGUGUGAAGAACAAACAGUAAGGGCACAAGGGUAGAAGUGGGAAGACUAGUUAGGAAGCCAUUGCAGUAACACAGGGAAGAGAUGAUAAUAGCUCGGACCAGGGUAGAGUCUAUGGAAGUGAUGAGGAAACUGAGGCUGUCUGAGGUUCAGCGAAUCCCCCAGGGUCACAAUGUGGUACUGGGAUGCUGAACAAAUAAUUGCUGAAUUGAACUGAUAGCACUGGCAUUACCCUGUGCCUGCUUUCUCCGUGUCCACCGAUCUCAGCACAAAGCCUGGCGCAGAGUGGGUGUGCACUCACCAAGCGAGCAAAACCCAGUCCAG